CAGCGGAUGGAUCAUUACCUGAAAUGAAAUAAAGCCAAUUUUGGUGUGGUUGACUUUGUUAACCUCUGGACGUGGCUGGUUAAUCAGCCUGCCAGAACUUGUAGUGUGCAAUGACGUGAGUCGCACGCUUGAUGAGUGAAGGGAUUGCUGGAUCGGACGACAAGUCCAGGCGAGAUGCAACCUCAACCCCUGAGACUGCCAUUGACUUCACUGAAGCGAUUGUCUUAAAAAAAUGACAACUGCUGGCCGUGGAUCACUUGGCUGACGGAUCGAUGAAGAACGUAGCAAACUACGUUAAACGGUGUGAAUUGCAGAACACGCAGAACACUGGAACUUUGAACGCACAUGGCAGGUUAGUGUUUUAACUAACCUUUGUCUGUGUGAGGGUUGUAAACAGAGAAUCAAGGAUAUUUUUUGAAGAGCGGGGAGGUUGCCUAUUAAAUGUGCGACAUGCCCGCUGAUAACAAUAAACACACACUUGUGUUGCGCCUCUGGCUAGCGUCGGAGGAUAACGGCAACUGGACAAGUGUAAGGAUAGAGGAGUUUGCUGGAGUUGAUGCGCUGUCUACAGUGUAUUCAGAAGCAGUAGUUCCCUAUCCUGCCUUUCUUUCUCACAACCUCACAUCAGGCAAGAUUACCCGCUUAAUUUAA
rnacentral:misc_RNA from 1 species